AAAGUAAGUACCGAAGCUGUAGACUUGCACACAACUUAGAUUAUUUAAGUUUAGAAUAUGAGAAACUAAGUUAUAU
rnacentral:rRNA from 1 species